rnacentral:rRNA from 1 species
UAACGACUCUCGGCAACGGAUAUCUCGGCUCUCGCAUCGAUGAAGAACGUAGCGAAAUGCGAUACUUGGUGUGAAUUGCAGAAUCCCGUGAACCAUCGAGUCUUUGAACGCAAGUUGCGCCCAAAGCCAUUAGGCCAAGGGCACGCCUGUCUGGGCGUCUCACA